AGACGUAGGGAGCGAGCGUUGUCCGGAUUCAUUGGGCGUAAAGCGCGCGUAGGCGGCCUCGCAAGUCGGUUGUGAAAUCCCGGUGGCUCAACCCCGGGACUGCGUCCGAUACUGCGGGGCUGGAGGUAGGUAGGGGAGAUCGGAAUUCCUGGUGUAGCGGUGAAAUGCGCAGAUAUCAGGAGGAACACCGGUGGCGAAGGCGGAUCUCUGGGCCUUACCUGACGCUGAGGCGCGAAAGCUAGGGGAGCGAACAG
rnacentral:rRNA from 1 species